rnacentral:lncRNA from 1 species
AUGGCUAAAGGUGACCCCAAGAAACCAAGGGGCAAGAUGUCUGCUUAUGCCUUCUUCACACAGACAUGCAGAGAAGAACACAAGAAGAAAACCCAGAGGUUGCAGUCAAUUUUGCGGAGUUUUCCAAGAAGUGCUCUGAGAGGUGGAAGACAAGAGGUCUAGCAAAGAGAAAUCAAAGUUUGAUGAAAUGGCAAAGUCAGAUAAAGUAAGCUAUGAUUGGGAGAUGAAAGAUUAUGUAGCAGCUAAAGGAGGCAAGAGGAAGAAGGACCCAAAUGCCCCCAAAAGACCUCCAUCUGGAUUUUUCUUAUUCUGCUCCAAAUUCCUACCCAAGAUCAAAUCCACAAACCCUGGCAUCUCCAUUGGCGAUGUGGCAAAAAAAUCUGGGUGAGAUGUGGAAGAACUUGAGUGAGAGUGAAAAGCAGCCUACGUCACCAAGGUAGCAAAGCUGAAGGAGAAGCAUGAGAAGGGUGUCGCUGACUGUCAGUCUAAAGGGAAGUUUGAGGGGGCCAAGGGGCCUGCUAAAGUUGCCCGGAUAAAGGUGGAAGAGGAGGAGGAGGAGGAGGAAGAGGAAGAAGAGGAAGAGGAAGAAGAUGAA